CUCGCGAGGACAUGCUUCCUUAUAUCCCCAUAUCAAUACACCACUUAUGGAAUGUAAGGAAGUGUGUGGUCUCAAG
rnacentral:pre_miRNA from 11 species